CAGAGUCGAGAUCUGUGCUCUCUCCAGAGCCAUGAGAGUCCAACCUCAGAUGGACAGACAGACAGACAGACAGACAUAUCCUUUGUGGGCCAGGAGGACAGUUUCUAAGAAGAGAAAGCUCACCUAGAGACUGGCUCAAAACUUCCAUCGUUGUAAACAAGGUGCUACACACCUUCGGGCACAUCCUUCCUCCGCGUAAGAGUUUCUGUAUCCCUACCGUACGGUGAGCUCAUGUGAUGGGAACUCCACACAAGGAGUUAGUCUCAACCCGUGCCCUCGUCUCAAGAACAGAUUCUUCAGUUCCCAGGAACUGUGGAGGUGCCAUACACAAAGCAAAUCGUCCAGGUCCCCUGACAUCUGGCUC
rnacentral:lncRNA from 1 species